rnacentral:tRNA from 1 species
GGGGUUAUGGCUCAGCGGUAGAGCAUUCGCCUUGCAUGUGUGAGGCCUUGGGUUCGAUCCUCAACACCA